rnacentral:rRNA from 1 species
UACGAAGGGGGCUAGCGUUGUUCGGAAUCACUGGGCGUAAAGGGCGCGUAGGCGGCCGUUCAAAUCGGGGGUGAAAGCCUGUGGCUCAACCACAGAAUUGCCUUCGAUACUGGACGGCUCGAGACCGGAAGAGGUCAGUGGAACUGCGAGUGUAGAGGUGAAAUUCGUAGAUAUUCGCAAGAACACCAGUGGCGAAGGCGGACUGACUGGUCCGGUUCUGACGCUGAGGCGCGAAAGCGUGGGGGAGCAAACAGG